CUCGGAGGUCAGUCAGGUAUUCGGAGCUUUAAACUCCAGCGGCCCGAUCCACAAGCAGCAGGCUGAAACACCAAGCGCCGCCUCCGGAGCGCUUCCAACACCACACACAACCAGCUCCUUAAAGCCCGGGAGCGGUGCCCCGCGAGCCCCGCGGCCGCCGGAAGAGACGGCGGAAGAGGCGGGGCUUCCUCGGAUGACGACAGUGGGGCGCCGCAGGCCUGGCGCGCCUUGGAGUUUAGAACAGGACCGGGACCUCGUGGAGAUGGCAGCCGCAGAAGCAGCUUUGGGGUCAUUGGUAACGGGUCUGUACGACGUGCAGGCUUUCAAGUUUGGGAACUUCGUACUGAAGAGCGGGCUCUCUUCCCCUGUUUACAUCGAUCUGCGUGGCAUCGUGUCUCGACCGCGUCUUCUAAGUCAGGUUGCAGAUAUUUUAUUCCAAACUGCCCAAAAUGCAGGAAUCAAUUUUGACAGUGUGUGUGGAGUACCUUAUACAGCUUUACCAUUGGCUGCAGUUAUCUGUUCAACCAACCAAAUUCCAAUGCUUAUUAGAAGGAAAGAAACAAAGGAUUAUGGUAAAAUAAAAGUAUUAUAAGCUUUAAGUUGAUACGUAACCUGAUAAUGUUAGAAUUUUUCUUCUAGGCACUGAUGUUUGCCGAAGUCACCUUGGAUAUUUUUCAUAGGUCCUUUAGAAUUGGUUAACUGUUACUGUAAAUUGCCUUCCUUUCCUUUAGAUUCUAGGGGUAAAAUGUUUUGUGAUGACUAAACAAUGUAAAACAGUGCUUUUUUGUACUAUAUCUGUGAAACCAAACAUUUUUAACCAGUCUUCCUCUCAGCAGCAGAAUGUUCUCAGAGCACAUACAUUCCUGGUAUGUUUAUAAUUUAAACUGCAUAAAGUGAAAUGCCACAUAAAAUUCUCUGAAGAUAUAUUUUCAUGGGUCCUUGGUAGUAAGUUAGUUAUAAGGUGUGUGUUUUAUACAUGUGAGCUUGCUUUAAAAACCCAUCAGUCUAGCCUGGCUUAGAGGAGCAUGGGACUCUUGACCUUGGGGUGGUGAGUUUGAGCCCCAUAUUAGGUCUAGAGAUUACAAAAAAAAAAUGAACUUUAAAAAAAAAAAACAAAAUAAGAACGGAUCAAUCUAAAAAUAUUGGGACUGACUUCAUAUUUGAUGACAUUAAGGAAUUAAUGAGUUUUUUUGUUUUAUGUUGGUGUGAUAGUAUUUCUCAAUUUUUUUAAUAGAGUCCUUUUACAAGAUGUGUUCUAAAAAUUUUUAUGAUGAAAAUCAUGACAUCUGGGGUUUGCUUCUAAAAAUUAUGGAGGGAGGGAAGAGGUAGGGAUGGAGCUGAAACAAGAUUGACCAUGAGUUAAGUGACAAGGUAUUUAGGGGGUUUGUUAUACUUCUUUGUCUAGUUUUUUUUUUUUUUUUAAGAUUUAUUUAUUUAUUUAUUAGAGACAGCC